UUCUCUCUUUUCUUUUUUAAACCAAUUCCUAAUUUUUAAGCUCAAUACCCCAACUUUUUGGAUAAAUCUAAGAGCUUUUAUGUUUGAUUUAUACAUUUGAAUCAUCACCUAAAUGCAAGUCAUUUUAUUGUUCCUAAUUUUAAACAGAAAAGGUUUUACCAUUGAAAGACUUACUAAACAAAGUGACAAUGAUGGUGCGGAUAUAUAAUAGACAUCGGACGAGACUAAGUCAUAAAAGGUAAAAGAAUAAAUAAAACAAAUACUCAACAAACAAAAGUAGGGAUUAUUUAACUGGGAAUCUCACCAACGCCCCCCCAAAGAAAAGCGAAAGAGGUAAUCGUGUCUUCUACAAAUGCAUGCACCUCUACAGGUGGGUCAAAUUAUUCAAAUCCUAAUAUCUCCUUUACUUUUUUUCUUAGGAUAAACAUAAUUUAUUAUUAUUAUUAUAUAUAUAUAUUAAAAUUCCAUCCAUACAAAUCAUGAACUACUAAUACUAACUAGUUUUCACCAAAUAAUUUUUGAGAUAUUUUAUUUAGUUGGCACAAUAAAUAAAUGAAAUAUUUUGCAUGUUUUCAUAUAUUCACAGCGUCAGCAUAAGCUUUUCUGCUCCAUAAUAUAAUACUUUUUGUUAGGGGCGCUUACAGCGUGAAUAACCAAUAUUUUAAUAUUUUUUAGAUUUAAUUAUUUAUAUCUGUUAAUUCAUCAACCAACAUUAACUGUUUGAGUUUGACUUCAUAAUUAAAUGUUACAAGUAUAUCUAUAUAAAGGAAUAUUUUUAAAAAUGAAUCCAUACUAUUUAUAUCUUCAUUCAUAUUAAAUGCAUUGAAUUCAAUUAUAUUUUUAAAAUAAUUGUACCCUGACGUUUAUUUAUAGUUUUGAAUUGAUUUAAUAAAUGUUAUGGUCCAACUAUUAUCAAAAUGAAUAUGAAUUAUUGGGAUAUAAUAAAGUAUUAUUGCGUUCUGUAUUCAAUAACUUUUUGCAUCUUUUUCCAGCGAACAUGAUUAGUUGAAUUAUAUUGAGAAAGACCAGUAAAAUCCCAACAAAUAUCAUUAGCAGGUUAAUAUCAGUCAACCCACCAUAAUUAAACUAUUAAAAGGAUCAGGCUGCACCUUGUAAUGUAUCUAAAUCGUUCUACCCUAAAGUGUAAACCGUUAGGUAUGAUUCCAAAAUUAGUUUUAUAUCCAUAAAAUUCACUUUAGAUUUUAUGUCGGACGGGUGUUUAUUAGGCACGCUGGGUUUGGUUCAGACAAUUAUUAAUAAACUUUCAGCAUUUAGAAUUAGCUUAGAGUUUAUACUUUUUUCUUUUUUUAAAUUUAAGUUUGCUUAACCUUUUCUAAAUGCAGUAUAAAACUCUCUUUUGCUAAACGUUUUUAUUAUAUAUUAUGAUUUCUUAUAUAUAUAUAACUUUUGAAAUUAAUGAUAAAAUAACAGGACAGCAAGCUAAUAAACAUAUUGGUCCAAUUUUGUAUAUUUAUCCACAGUCUAAUAAAUUAAAGUGUUAACUAUUGACAUUCUUUUCUUAAUUUUCUCAAUAAAUCAUGAUUUUUAUUUUUGUUAUAGCAAUAAACUAUAAUUUUAUUAUGUUGAAUUUAUGGUCAAUUGUUAAAAUCCUAAUGCAAACUCGUUAAUAGUCUAAUCUGUAGGUGGGCUAAACUACAAAAUUUCAGAUCCAGCUAAUAAGCAGAUCGGACGAGGCUAAAUCUAAGAACUUGCUCGAGCUUAAGAGUUCUACGGGCUAUGAAGUUUCAUGGGUCGAUAUCGUCAUUGCGGGUAUUGGAUUUGAUGAGAAAAGUAAUUAGGUCUUUUAAAUAUGGGCUGGUCAUAAUUUUAAAAGCGAAAAUCUCACUAUUUAUCUAUUCUUUUAAGAUAAUUAUAAAUAUACUCUCAUCUUUUUAUUAUUUACAAUAUUAUCCCUAUUGUUCUCAGAAGUAUCAUUCUUCAC
rnacentral:lncRNA from 1 species